CUGAGGUGGUUAAUGGAGCUAUCUCUAAGCCAUUUCCAAGUGAGCAAAUAAGGAGACUAACACAUUUAACAUCCUUUCUUUAACCCCCAUAAGUUGUUUUUAAUAAUAACUAUUCCUGGGUUGAAGUGAUAACUUGCAUUAACUGACAGGUAGCCCAUCAGCAAUAACAUUGUUGUAACUUUGCCCUAAUUAUCACCUGCUGUUUUAAUUUUUUUUCACAUUGGAAGUUGUUUUUCAAACUGCAGUUUUAAUGUUUAAAAAAGGGGGGAGGAGGAGAUGAGUGGUUCAAUUUGCUAAAUGUUGUGUUUCCUUCCAUAAUAUUGUACGAUAAACUUUCAUCAUCUCUGCAGGUGUCUCUGAUGAAUGACACAUUGAUCAACCCAUAUUCUUCAGACUCUACCAUGUGAAGCCAAUGAAAGAUGCCUGCUGGUGACCAAAUGAUGUUCAUGUAAAAUGGCCAUUCUGGCAAAUUUAAUAAGCUUUAGAUUUAUUUUAAAAACCAACCAGUAUUUCUAUCCCUUCUCAAGGCAAUGUUUUCUAUUUGAGGUUUCACUUGACAUGACCAGGUAGGAAAAUUGAUGAAUAGUCAUAAGAAGAAACUUUAAAUGACUCUUUAAAGCUACCAGUGAGAGAUCUCAGUAUUUAUUACUGAUCAUGAGUCUGACGAUCAAUUCUUCUAAUAGAUUUGGUAGAUGACUUGUGAUGAAUUGUGAUUUUUAUGUUUAUUUGAAGAGCAGUAUAAAUCUAAACUGGUCAGAUUCAGAUAAGAUAACAUCCCAGUUGAAGAAAUUAUCAACUCUUUGGAAUUAUGUAAAAAAAAAUAAGUUAUAGCCCAGACCUAAUUCAUGCUCCUAUUUACAAAACUUAGUAUAGUAAUUAUUUUGUAUUUCUGCUGUGUUCAAGGCCUUUCAUGGUCUUGCCCCAGUAAUCUUAUCAACCUCAUUUAUUGCAGUAUAUAUUAAUAUAUUUCUAUGCAUCCCAGCUCCUUCCCAGAACACCCCCACACCUUUGCUCAUGCUGGUCCAGCGUCCUACAAUCUCCUUUCCUGCCAUCCAGAAUUGCUGAAUUUCCACCCAUCCCUCAAGACCAAUUUAACCAUUAAGGCCAACUCAUCUAGAAAGCUUACUUUAGUUACUACUUCCAUUCAGAAUUAACAGCUUCUCUGCUUAUGUGACACUUUAAUUUAUGAAUAUUUUAAUGUGUUAUUAAAUAUUUCAAAAUAAUAUAAUGAACAAUCAUGUACUCCCCAGUAGCGUAAGAAAUAAAACAUUUCCAAAAUACUCGAACCCUCCUGUGUAUAAUACUGAUGUCAGUGGCUGCUGCCAUCAUGCCUGCUGCAGCAGGGAAGCGCAGCUGGGGCUGCACACUCCAUGGAGCAAGUGGGAGCC
rnacentral:lncRNA from 1 species